CCCUAAAUUCAUUUCAUCCACAGCCGCUCCUCCUUCUUUCUCUCUCUGGUGAUUUUCAAUUUAGGGUUUCACGAGAUCUGUGGUAUGAGAUCUCACCAGAUCCAACAAUGGUGUGGUCUGUAAAAGUGGUCGAGUACGCUUCAAGAUCAGUCGAUUCGACCAGAGGUUGACUGGAUAAUGUUGACCCAUUUUCUUCUCUUCCGGAUCGAAUAUGACCUUUUUUUCUCGAAACCCUACUCAUUCAUUCAGAUUCCCAUCUCCCUGCUUUCUCUCUCAAAUGAGAUCUAGGGUUUCUACAUGUGAUUCAAGAUUUUGCUUUCACUGCUUUCUCUCUCAAACGAGAUCUAGGGUUUCUACAUGCGAUACCAGAUCUGGCUUUCACAGUUCGGUUCGACACUUCCAUGGAACCAAAAACUCCGAGCCGAGAGCGUUGCAGAUCUACAACUUGGAGGCGGUUUUUGGUAGUUGGUACUAAAGAUGUUCGGGUGGUUAAACACUUCUCAAUCACCCGGUUGGAAACACAAGAAUCAUCAAGGAAGGGUUACAAAUUAGGGUCUGGAUGUUAUUCAGACUUAUGUUUUCUGGAAUGGGCAUGAACCACAACCUGGUAAAUAUUAUUUUGAAGACAGGUAUGAUCUGGUUAAGUUCAUUAACCUAAUUAAGGAAGCUGGACUAUGUGUUCAUCUCAGAAUAGGCCCAUAUGCUUGUGCUGAAUGGAACUUUGGGGUAUUUCUUGUGUGGUUGAAAUAUAUGCCAGGAAUAAGUUUUAGAACAGAAUGCUCCUUUCAACGCUGCAAUGGAAAAAUU